rnacentral:lncRNA from 1 species
GUUCGAACUCGCGUCGGAAGACUAACCGGAGUUCACCGGGGCUGCCUGAGGUUCGCGACGGUAUCACGUCAUCCCUUGUUUCGACGAAGAAACGCCACCGGAGGAAAACCGACUUGCCGGGAAUUGAUUUUGAUAUGAGUCGCCGCAUCCGCGAGUCGGAACGAGGAAGCUCUUGUCGGAAACAUCACCCGGGAACUCGUGAUUCGUUCCGUGAACCAUGA